GGAUUGUGGGGGGUCGCUCUAGGCACCGCAGCACUGUGCUGGGGAUGUUGCAGCUGCCUGGGAGUGACAUCACACAGUCCUC
rnacentral:pre_miRNA from 1 species